rnacentral:rRNA from 1 species
AUCUACCUAGUAGUGGGGGAUAGCACGGGGAAACUCGUAUUAAUACCGCAUACGACCUACGGGAGAAAGGGGGCAGUUUACUGCUCUCGCUAUUAGAUGAGCCUAAGUCGGAUUAGCUAGAUGGUGGGGUAAAGGCCUACCAUGGCGACGAUCUGUAGCUGGUCUGAGAGGAUGAUCAGCCACACCGGGACUGAGACACGGCCCGGACUCCUACGGGAGGCAGCAGUGGGGAAUAUUGGACAAUGGGGGAAACCCUGAUCCAGCCAUGCCGCGUGUGUGAAGAAGGCCUUUUGGUUGUAAAGCACUUUAAGCAGUGAAGAAGACUCCAUGGUUAAUACCCAUGGACGAUGACAUUAGCUGCAGAAUAAGCACCGGCUAACUCUGUGCCAGCAGCCGCGGUAAUACAGAGGGUGCAAGCGUUAAUCGGAAUUACUGGGCGUAAAGGGAGCGUAGGUGGCUCGAUAAGUCAGAUGUGAAAUCCCCGGGCUCAACCUGGGAACUGCAUCUGAUACUGUUGAGCUAGAGUAUGUGAGAGGAAGGUAGAAUUCCAGGUGUAGCGGUGAAAUGCGUAGAGAUCUGGAGGAAUACCGAUGGCGAAGGCAGCCUUCUGGCAUAAUACUGACACUGAGGCUCGAAAGCGUGGGUAGCAAACAGGAUUAGAUACCCUGGUAGUCCACGCCGUAAACGAUGUCUACUAGUCGUUGGGUCCCUUGAGGACUUAGUGACGCAGCUAACGCAAUAAGUAGACCGCCUGGGGAGUACGGCCGCAAGGUUAAAACUCAAAUGAAUUGACGGGGGCCCGCACAAGCGGUGGAGCAUGUGGUUUAAUUCGAUGCAACGCGAAGAACCUUACCUGGUCUUGACAUAUCUAGAAUCCUGCAGAGAUGCGGGAGUGCCUUCGGGAAUUAGAAUACAGGUGCUGCAUGGCUGUCGUCAGCUCGUGUCGUGAGAUGUUGGGUUAAGUCCCGCAACGAGCGCAACCCUUGUCCUUAGUUACCAGCGGGUUAAGCCGGGAACUCUAAGGAUACUGCCAGUGACAAACUGGAGGAAGGCGGGGACGACGUCAAGUCAUCAUGGCCCUUACGACCAGGGCUACACACGUGCUACAAUGGUAGGUACAGAGGGCAGCUACACAGCGAUGUGAUGCGAAUCUCAAAAAGCCUAUCGUAGUCCGGAUUGGAGUCUGCAACUCGACUCCAUGAAGUAGGAAUCGCUAGUAAUCGCGGAUCAGAAUGCCGCGGUGAAUACGUUCCCGGGCCUUGUACACAC